CCCUAUGGGGUGCCGCAGGCAGGGGAUCUCCAAACCGCCCUGGGAAACAACCUGAAUAUGGUCGGUACUAUCGUGGACCCAGCCGCUAGCCGGGUAGCAGACCUGGGGCCGAUGCCCCAGCAUGGUACGCGGCCGGGCGGUAUAGGCCACAUAGAGGCUGGCCCAUUGAUUGGUGGCCUGGUUGACAUACAGCCGGCUCAAAAAAUCGUCGUGUUUGGCAACAUUCUGGACAUUGACCGGGAUCGGAACCCCACGGCCCUGCCACUGGCCAACCGCCAGCGGAAAUUCAUUUAAAGGAAUCGGCAGGGUUAUGGGACUGAGAACUUCCCCUUGCAGGGAACCGGCCAGGAUGCGGUAGGCGAGACCCGAACCGAAUAAUAAUACUACUACCAGGGGCCAGACCCAAAGGCGGGAGAGC
rnacentral:rRNA from 1 species